GCUCCCAUCGUCUAGAGGCCAAGGACACCAGGUUUUCAUCCUGGUAACACCGAUUCGAAUUCGGUUGGGAGUGCCA
rnacentral:tRNA from 1 species